rnacentral:rRNA from 1 species
UCAGUAACGGCGAGUGAAGCGGCAACAGCUCAAAUUUGAAAUCUGGCUCCUUCGGGGCCCGAGUUGUAAUUUGCAGAGGAUGCGUCGGGUACGGGUGCCUUCCGAGUUCCCUGGAACGGGACGCCAUAGAGGGUGAGAGCCCCGUCUGGUAGGACACCCAGCCCGUGUGACGCUCCCUCGACGAGUCGAGUAGUUUGGGAAUGCUGCUCUAACGGGAGGUAUACUCCUUCCAAGGCUAAAUACCGGCUGGAGACCGAUAGCGCACAAGUAGAGUGAUCGAAAGAUGAAAAGCACUUUGAAAAGAGAGUCAAACAGCACGUGAAAUUGUUAAAAGGGAAGCGCUCGCUACCAGACUUGGGUUCGGCGGUUCAACCGGGGCCACGCCCCGGGGCAUUCCGCCGGCCCAGGCCAGCAUCAGCUUUCCGUCGGGGGUAAAGGCGUCGGGAAUGUGGCUCCCCUUCGGGGGAGUGUUAUAGCCCGUCGUGUCAUACCCUUCGGGGGGCUGAGGUACGCGCUUCUGCAAGGAUGCUGGCGUAAUGGUAGCUAGUGACCCGUCUUG